rnacentral:misc_RNA from 1 species
GGCUUAUUUGGUUUGAUACCAAUUUACUACCCUACCAAAAUUUUGGCAACUUCAAUAGUAGCAAGUGGAUGUUUGGUUUGCUACCAAAUUUUACCCACCAUAGUUUAAAUUGAAUACUACCUAAUUUGGUAGUACCAAAAUUUGCCAAUGUUUUAGUACUACCUAAAUUUUAGUAGGGAAAAAAUUGGCUCCAAACCAAACAAGCCCUGA